GAUAAACGCUGGCGGCGUGCAUAACACAUGCAAGUCGAACGAUGAAACUUAGAUGAUUUCUUCGGAAUGAACUUAAGCGGAUUAGUGGCGAACGGGUGAGUAACACGUGAGUAACCUGCCUUACACAAGGGGAUAGCCUUUGGAAACGAAGAAUAAUACCCUAUAACGUCAAUUUAUCGCAUGAUAGAAUGACCAAAGAUUUAUCGGUGUAAGAUGGACUUGCGUCUGAUUAGCUAGUUGGUGAGAUAAAGGCCCACCAAGGCAACGAUCAGUAGCCGGCUUGAGAGAGUGUACGGCCACAUUGGGACUGAGACACGGCCCAAACUCCUACGGGAGGCAGCAGUGGGGAAUUUUGCACAAUGGGGGAAACCCUGAUGCAGCGACGCCGCGUGAUUUAGAAGGCCUUCGGGUUGUAAAAAUCUUUUUUAUGGGAUGAAAAUGACAGUACCAUAAGAAUAAGGUCCGGCUAAAUACGUGCCAGCAGCCGCGGUAAUACGUAUGGACCGAGCGUUGUCCGGAAUCAUUGGGCGUAAAGGGUACGUAGGCGGCCCAGUAAGUUAGAAGUGAAAUAAUAUAGCUCAACUAUAUAAAGCUUUUAAAACUGCUAGGCUUGAGAGAUGGAAGGGAAAGUGGAAUUCCUAGUGUAGCGGUGAAAUGCGCAGAUAUUAGGAAGAAUACCGGUGGCGAAGGCGACUUUCUGGUCAUCAUCUGACGCUGAGGUACGAAAGCGUGGGUAGCAAACAGGAUUAGAUACCCUGGUAGUCCACGCUGUAAACGAUGAGUGUUAGGUUCUUGGAAUAAUCUGGGAGCCGCAGCUAACGCAUUAAACACUCCGCCUGGGGAGUACGCACGCAAGUGUG
rnacentral:rRNA from 1 species